rnacentral:rRNA from 1 species
UAUCCUACGAGGGGCAGCAGUGAGGAAUAUUGGUCAAUGGACGCAAGUCUGAACCAGCCAUGCCGCGUGCAGGAUGACGGCUCUAUGAGUUGUAAACUGCUUUUGUACGAGGGUAAACCCCGAUACGUGUAUCGGGUUGAAAGUAUCGUACGAAUAAGGAUCGGCUAACUACGUGCCAGCAGCCGCGGUAAAACGUAGGGGGCGAGUGUUGUCCGGAAUGACUGGGCGUAAAGGGUGCGUAGGCGGCAUAAUAAGUUAGAAGUGAAAUACCCAGAGCUUAACUCGGGUGCUGCUUCUAAGACUGU